AUUGAACGCUGGCGGCAGGCCUAACACAUGCAAGUCGAACGGUAACAGGAAGCAGCUUGCUGCUUCGCUGACGAGUGGCGGACGGGUGAGGAAUGUCUGGGAAGCUGCCUGAUGGAGGGGGAUAACUACUGGAAACGGUAGCUAAUACCGCAUAAUGUCGCAAGACCAAAGAGGGGGACCUUCGGGCCUCUUGCCAUCGGAUGUGCCCAGAUGGGAUUAGCUUGUUGGUGGGGUAACGGCUCACCAAGGCGACGAUCCCUAGCUGGUCUGAGAGGAUGACCAGCCACACUGGAACUGAGACACGGUCCAGACUCCUACGGCAGGCAGCAGUGGGGAAUAUUGCACCAUGGGCGCAUGCCUGAUGCAGCCCUGCCGCGUGUAUGAAGAAGGCCUUCGGGUUGUAAAGUACUUUCAGCGGGGAGGAAGGGAGUAAAGUUAAUACCUUUGCUCAUUGACGUUACCCGCAGAAGAAGCACCGGCUAACUCCGUG
rnacentral:rRNA from 1 species